ACAGCGGUUUAGAUUGCAAGAAUAAAGACAAUGAGAGAUUUUCGAUACAAGCGAUUCGAACCGGGUGUGACGGCACGAGGGCGACGUAGUCAUUGAGGACGAUGUGUCACGCCAUGCGACGGAUUUCAAUGUUCGACGGUUCUACAAUCGGAAUUCUGCUAUGUGAUUCCGUGCAGUUGGAUUCGGUAAUUGAUUUGUGGAUCCGCUCUGUGAGUUACCACCUCACUUGAUCAUAUCUGGGUUUUGAUUUGAAUUUGGAUUCGGGGCGAGUAAUUAACUGUUCUAAAGAGAUGAUAGAGCCGUUGAAUCAUACUGUAUCGAUCAUUAGAAGGUGUGAAUCACCAUCAAUGAGGGCCAAAGUGGCAAAAGUUUCUUGAGAGAAAAAAUACCACGUACUGCCGGUGAGCCUCGGAUCAAGGUCAAGUCAGCACCCGAUGGCGGUCUAUUUUCUUCUGCUUUUUUGUGUGUGUGGGGUAAAAUAGAAGAAAACAAGUAAGAAGAGGUUGGAACUAACAAGAGGCAACAUCCGCGGCAAGUAGCUUUGAUACCUCGGCCGUGUUGGGCCACUUUGACAAAAAUCAAAGAGGUGAGAAAAAUGUGAAACAACCUGUGAUGCCGUAGGGAAGGAGAAAUUGGGUAAUAUUUGAAGGAUGUAGGAUGUAAUUUAUAUCCUUUUUACUUUUCGUGACCCAACCGAAUUCUCUUGACGUGCGUUCUGUCAAGGCAGUUGCAAAACGCCAGGUUUAGGAUUCGAACCUUCGACCAUGUGGUCAUGAGCCUACACGCUCUGCCCGACUGAGCUAGUAUUUUAUAGACCACGUGCUAUUUUUGUUG